GACUUCGAAAUUGAAGUCGCACUUUCCCUCCAUGGACCAGUCGAAGGAUAUUGUGUAUACGGAUAUAAGAGAUGCAAUUUCAUGCAUUAAUCAGAAGGUGAACAUUUUUGGCGUAGUAAAGGAGUUUGGGAUGCCCAAAAAAAGCAAAGGAACUGAUUUUGUGUGUAGAUUAGAGAUAAUGGACAUGUCCCGGGGAGAACCUGUGUUACCUGUGACAUUUUUUGCUCCAAGCAUGGAGAAGCUUCCUCAUGUGAAGUCCAAUGGAGAUAUAAUUCGUCUUCAUCGAGUUCUGGUGAAAUACCAUUUGCAUAAGUCAAUUUUUCCCUACUUAUUAGGCUUGAUUAACAUCUUCACUGGUGAGGUGUAUGCUCGUUUCAACAAGAAGUUUUCUUCUUUUUCUUUAUUUGAAGGGAAGUCUGGUAAACGUUUUAUUCCGUAUCAGUUCUCUUCGAGUCCCUAUAUUACAGAUCAUGACAGGAAAUACAUAACCCAGCUAAGAACUUGGUUGAAAAAUUUCGAGUUCCAGAAAGGCCAUGACAAAUAUUUGACUCAGUUCAGUGGCAUCUGUCAUGGGAAAUAUUGUGAUCUUGUUUGCAAGAUUCUUCAUAUAUGUAAAGUUUCUGAAGAUGAGACAGUUGUUGUUCUGUGGGAUGGGACAGAUACUCCUCCUAUACCACUAGAGACAAAUCAUGAUAUUGAAGCAGAGCAAAAUGCUUCAUUACAAUCAGAGCCAUUUCUGCCAAGGGAUGUAUUAUCUACAUUUCCAUCUAUAGGAUCGGUGGUGAGGGUAUCUAUUGGCAAAUCGUUGGAUGAUUUACUCCAACAAUUACAAACUACAUGUCAAUGGGUCAGGUUUCGUAAGGUAAAAAUUCAACCAAUAUUGGGAUUUUGGCAAGUUGUAUUGUUGCCUAAUAGUACCUUGUGUCCCCUUUCCAUGGAUGAUCAUUUUGCAAACUUCUACCAGAGUGCAUAUGAAACACGUAUAUCGUCAUCGUUGCUAAGGAUGCCGUAUUCUUGCGUACCUGCACCAUCUCCCAUCACACAGACAGAUCAUCAAGAUGCACCUUUAUCAUCUCUUCGUGAAAUCCUUACUCACGCAAAGGUUACUUACAAAUAUAAAUGUAUCGUUCGAGUUAUAGCAAUAGACCCAAGGCAUGCUGCAGAUUUCUUUUCUAAGUCAUCUCGGUCUCCCGUGUAUGCUAUUAGGAUGACCUUGGAGGACCCAACUGCACGAAUCCAUGCUAAUUUAUUUGCAGAGGAUGGGGUAGCUUGUGUUUUGGAGGGACCCUAUGGUAGGAUCUGAUCCUGGGUAAAACUGAGGACCAUAUCGAGUGCACUAACCAUGUAGACCUCUACUUGAUUGAUGUGUUCGGAAGAAAACUGGGGAUAUGGUUUAUAAUUUUAUACACAAUCUGACAUUUCCGAAGUUAUUCAGGCUAGGCAGCUUUGACAAUUUUAUCUGUUGGAGAAAUACUAGGGCUAUGCUCUGUACAAGUUAUCUGGAAAUUUUCAUUGCAGAUUGGCUGGCCAGAAUGUUCUAUGCUUCUGCGGGAGCAUUUUCUCCAUUCACUCUUUCAGGCGCCCAAUCUGCGAGUAGUUUUAGCCCCAAUUUAUGGGGAUGCAAUCUCUUCAGCUUAGUGAUCAACCUCCUUAGUGGCUUUUUCUGGGGAGUAAAAUGCAUAGUAUUCUCCUAUCGUUAGGAAAGGACCUAGUCACCUAUAUAGAUAACCACAGGCUUUUGGAAGAUGAAUGAUCACUGGCCUUUGGACUAUGAAUGAUCACUGAGACUCCAGUGAAGGAGAAGUUUUUUGGAGGCUAUCCACCUACUGAUGAACUGCAGGCCAAAGUGAACAAGCUCCUUGGAGUCACUGAAGACUCUAAGG